rnacentral:lncRNA from 1 species
AACUGUGCAGGAAUCGGAGCCCUGCAGAGGAAUGCUCUGCAAAAUGAGUCUGCUUCCCUUUCACUGUGACUGUGCUCCGUCACUUCCAGGGAAUGGGACCAACAGCCUCAGCUUCCACGGGAACAGAACACUGGGGAAACGACUCUGAAAAUGAUUCUGACGAGUUCAGCCAGAUGGAGGCUGAAGAAGACCUCAUGGGGAGGUGCCUGAGGGCCCUCCUCCAGUCCCUCCAGGAAGCAGCCAGCAGCAGGGGAAGGCAGCGGGAAGAGGAAGAAACCCUCCGCUGACGCCACACUGCGGUGUGACAGCUAGAGUGCUCGUUCUACAGAUGGACAGUGGGAAAGGCAGCAAUGCAAUGGAACCCUGGAAGGAAGAGAAGGGGCCCACAUCCUGGCAGCUGCCCACGUCCCUGCAAGUCAGUGGUGACCAGCGAAGGCCCAUGCCCUGCUGGCUUCAUCUUUGGCCUCGGGAGCACCAAGGCCAGGCUGAAAGUAGGACUGGCAACGCGGAAAGGGGCAGGGUGACAGUCACCGCUUGGGCAGAACACACCUCAGCCCAACAAAGGUUCUUGCGCUGAAGACACCUUGACGACUACAAUGUCUUCUACUGCCAUCAACGCCCACUGGCAUCAUAUGGGACCAGACUCUGCUCUGUUUCACCACGGGUUCAGCAACAACAUGCACGUGCAGCGGAGGCGCCCACCCAAGUGACGUGGAGAAACUUGUACUGGCAGCAACCUUGCUCUCCCUGGAAAGCCAGGGCCAGCCUGUAAGAAGAAAAACAUGCAGGCGUGAGCUGCUAGUUCCAGGGUUUUCCGGAAUCUUUCUCUUUCCUUUUCAGACAGGAUAUGUAUAUUUGCACUGUACGCAUCAUGUAUAUAGUCAAAUUUGUUUCCUUUAUGUAAUUCUGUUACCCUGUGCGUGUUGCUCUAGGCAUUUUCUUCCGAAGGAUGUAUCGGUGUUUAAAAAUAAAUUGUUGAACAGCUCAACUUUAAGCA